rnacentral:rRNA from 1 species
UGGGGAAUAUUGCACAAUGGGGGAAACCCUGAUGCAGCGACGCCGCGUGAGCGAAGAAGGCUUUCGAGUCGUAAAGCUCUGUCCUAUGAGAAGAUAAUGACGGUAUCAUAGGAGGAAGCCCUGGCUAAAUACGUGCCAGCAGCCGCGGUAAUACGUAUGGGGCGAGCGUUGUCCGGAAUUAUUGGGCGUAAAGGGUACGUAGGCGGUUUUUUAAGUCAGGUGUCAAAGCGUGGAGCUUAACUCCAUUAAGCACUUGAAACUGAAAGACUUGAGUGAAGGAGAGGAAAGUGGAAUUCCUAGUGUAGCGGUGAAAUGCGUAGAUAUUAGGAGGAAUACCGGUGGCGAAGGCGACUUACUGGGCUCAUUCUGACGCUGAGGAACGAAAGCGUGGGUAGCAAACAGG